rnacentral:misc_RNA from 1 species
CUAAGGAAAAAGUUAUCAUCUUCAGUUUUGAAAGACUUAAAAAAGUUUUUCAUUUUUUAAGAUUAGGGCCUAUAGCUCAGUUGGUUAGAGCACACGCCUGAUAAGCGUGAGGUCGGUGGUUCAAGUCCAUUUAGGCCCACCAAAAUAGGUCACAUCUUAAAAAAGCUCUUUGAAAAGUAGAUAAACAAUAAAGGUUAAAAAAUC